AGGAAGCCAACUGUAAAUAUAUAGCCAUCAGGAUUCAGUUAAAUGAUCAGUAUGUCAUGCUAGAACUGACCGAAUAUAGCUUCAGAAAUCAAUUAACCCAAUAUCAAUCUCACAAUUAAACAAAUACUAUACUUAAUUACAAUGGAACAGCAGAAUAGCUUAUAAAAAUGAAAAGUUCAAAUUUAUUCAUGGGCAUCAAGAGGAAAACAAAUGAAAAAGUAGUAUCAAGGUGAUGAAGUUUUCUACAUACCCUGCUUUUACGAAUGUA
rnacentral:misc_RNA from 1 species